rnacentral:lncRNA from 1 species
GACAAACUAAUGCAACAAGGUGGGUCCUUUUUUAUUUUUUUUAUUUUCUUAUUUUUGUAGUAAAGGGAAUUGCCCCUUUUAAACAAAAUUUAUUUUAAAGGUAUAGCCGGGCGGCUAUACUUCGAAUUUUUUUCUUCUACAGGUAUAGCUAUACUUAUUGUCUGACACGUGGCGCGUUAGCCAAAGAGGGUCAUCAUUUUUUAAAAAAAAUAAUAAAAAUAGUACCGCCGAACGGCUAUACUCCGUGUUUUUUAAUUUAUUUAAAAAUAAAACUGAGUUAACACGUGGCGAAAAAUAGAUGGAGGUCCCCUCUUUUUUUAUAUUGAAAAUAAUAUAGCCGCGCGGCUAUACUCAUUUUUUUAAAUUCUUUUUAACCGAUCAGUUUUGUAUGGCCGGGCGGCUAUACUUAUUGUUUGACACGUGGCGCGCUAGAGGGUCAUCCUUUUUUAAAAAAAUUAAUAAAAAUAGUACAGCCGAACGGCUAUACUCUUUGUUUUUUAAUUUAUUUUAAAAAUAAAACUGUGUUGACACGUGGCGACAAAUAGACGGAGGUUUCCUCUUUUUUUAUAUUAAAAAUAGUAUAGCCGCGCGGCUAUACUCAUUAUUUUAAAUUCUUUUUAACCCGAUCAGUUAUGUUAUUUAGUAUAUAGUAUAGCCGUGCGGCUAGACUCGAUUUUCGUCUAGUUUCUUUUAAAAAUAGUACAGCCGGGAGGUUUUACUGUUUUUUUUAUAUAAAAAAAUUGUCUUUAAUAAAUAGUAUAGACGAGCGGCGAUGGUCUUUUACAUAUACACACACACACAUAUAUAUAUAUAUAUAUUUACGUACGUACGUAUUUUUUAAUAAUACAUUCGUGUUCUAUGCACGUCUCACUUUUUUUAAAAGCAAACAUACAAUAGUCGUAUUGUACUUGUGCCUACGUAUUUGUAAUAUUUUAUACACGUAUUGUUUUCAAAAUUUCCAACAAGACGCACAAAAUUCGUUUAUCAUACAAAUAAUUCUCACAUAUUAAUGAAUAAGAAUAACAUAUGUUAUAAAACUUACAUGAAAAUAUCAUAUAGUGGAAGAUUAAUAUCUACUUUGGAUAUGUUGAAACUAGAAAAUUAAUAUUUAAACGGGACAAACUAAUGCAACAAGGUGGGUCCUUUUUUAUUUUUUUUAUUUUCUUAUUUUUGUAGUAAAGGGAAUUGCCCCUUUUCAACAAAAUUUAUUUUAACGGUAUAGCCGGGCGGCUAUACUUCGAAUUUUUUUCUUCAACAGUUAUAGCCGGGCGGCUAUACUUAUUGUCUGCCACGUGGCGCGUUAGCCAAAGAGGGUCAUCCUUUUUUUAAAAAAAUAAUAAAAAUAGUACAGCCGCACGGCUAUACUCCGUGUUUUUUAAUUUAUUUAAAAAUAAAAUUGAGUUGACACGUGGCGAAAAAUAG